GGGGAUGUUUUGGUUUUGACAGCAUCGUAGACGGCAGUAAGCACGUCGGGCGUGGUACUCUGGCCCGUUAAUCCCAGGGAGCAAAAAAUUAGUAGGCAACUACAACUAUUCAUACGCUUGCUAAGUCUCCAAGAGACACGCAUCAAUCAGAAGCGCCAAGGUUGCGCACGCUGACGUAUAUCCCUCCGUCUUUUCGCCGGUUCUGACGGACCAAGGGGUAUCAUUCAGACCGGAUGCGGGGAACUGCCUCCUCCAGGUUCCCUCAAGCAAUCAGAGGAUAAGUUGCGGUCAAGGGCGUCUUCCCUCAUACCGCCGCCGACAACCAAUGGAAGAAUAAGCGUGUAGAAAGCUGUCGGGUAUUAUGUUUGGACGAGGGUUCGAGUCCCUCCAUCUCCACCG
rnacentral:tmRNA from 1 species